AAAACAAUAACAACAACAAUAACAACAACAACAACAAUAACAAUAAUAAUAACAACAAUAAAAACAUAAAAUAGAGUUUGAUUUAGAGGAGAAAUAUAGAUUCGUAAAUGAAAAAUAAAGUUUGGAGGCACAAAGAUGAAUUAUGUUUAGGGCAAGAGUGGAGAACGUAGUAUUUUAUAUAUAAAAUUAGAAUAACAUUUUCCUUCUGUUUUACCAAGUAAAUGAGAAGAAAA
rnacentral:lncRNA from 1 species